rnacentral:rRNA from 1 species
UACGUAGGGUGCAAGCGUUGUCCGGAUUGACUGGGCGUAAAGCGCACGCAGGCGGUUGCGCGCGUGGGGUGUGAAAUCUGGCCGCUUAACGGCCAGGCGCCAUCCCAUACGGCGCGACUGGAGUGAUGCAGAGGUCGAUGGAAUUGCCGGUGUAGUGGUGAAAUGCGUAGAGAUGGGCAGGAACGACCCAGGGGGAAACCAGUCGGACUGGGCAUCU